rnacentral:rRNA from 1 species
AGAGUUUGAUCCUGGCUCAGAUUGAACGCUGGCGGAAUGCUUUACACAUGCAAGUCGAACGGCAGCACGGGAGCUUGCUCCUGGUGGCGAGUGGCGAACGGGUGAGUAAUGCGUCGGAACGUACCGAGUAAUGGGGGAUAACGCAGCGAAAGUUGUGCUAAUACCGCAUACGCCCUGAGGGGGAAAGUGGGGGAUCGCAAGACCUCACGUUAUUCGAGCGGCCGACGUCUGAUUAGCUAGUUGGUGGGGUAAUGGCUCACCAAGGCGACGAUCAGUAGCGGGUCUGAGAGGAUGAUCCGCCACACUGGGACUGAGACACGGCCCAGACUCCUACGGGAGGCAGCAGUGGGGAAUUUUGGACAAUGGGGGCAACCCUGAUCCAGCCAUUCCGCGUGAGUGAAGAAGGCCUUCGGGUUGUAAAGCUCUUUCAGCAGGAACGAAACGGUAUGGGCUAAUACCCUGUGCUAAUGACGGUACCUGCAGAAGAAGCACCGGCUAACUACGUGCCAGCAGCCGCGGUAAUACGUAGGGUGCGAGCGUUAAUCGGAAUUACUGGGCGUAAAGCGUGCGCAGGCGGAUUGUUAAGCAAGAUGUGAAAUCCCCGGGCUUAACCUGGGAAUGGCAUUUUGAACUGGCAGUCUAGAGUGUGUCAGAGGGGGGUGGAAUUCCACGUGUAGCAGUGAAAUGCGUAGAGAUGUGGAGGAACACCGAUGGCGAAGGCAGCCCCCUGGGAUAACACUGACGCUCAUGUACGAAAGCGUGGGUAGCAAACAGGAUUAGAUACCCUGGUAGUCCACGCCCUAAACGAUGUCAACUGGUUGUUGGGGGAGUGAAAUCCCUUAGUAACGAAGCUAACGCGUGAAGUUGACCGCCUGGGGAGUACGGUCGCAAGAUUAAAACUCAAAGGAAUUGACGG